GAUAUCUAUUCAUGCCACCUCAUCCUUUGCCCUCUUUGAAGACCUUCUCCAUUCAUCUAGUACAAAAUGCCAAACCUGCUUGCUUACUAACCUGAAUGAAAAUCUACAUCGGCCUCACCAUCCCCACCCUGCAACUUUCCCUGUGGCCGACCCCCUCUGAGUGGCUGACUCCCAAGCCUGGAAGACACGAUUCUACACGAGUCAGAAACAGCCAGGU
rnacentral:lncRNA from 1 species